rnacentral:tRNA from 1 species
UAGCUCAGUCAGUUGAGCAUGGUGCUGAUAACACCAAGGUCGCGGGUUCCAUUCCCGU